GACGAACGCUGGCGGCGUGCUUAACACAUGCAAGUCGAACGGAAAGGCCCUGCUUGCAGGGUACUCGAGUGGCGAACGGGUGAGUAACACGUGGGUGAUCUGCCCUACACUUCGGGAUAAGCCUGGGAAACUGGGUCUAAUACCGGAUAUGACCUUCCAUGUAGUGUGGGGGGUGGAAAGAUUUAUCGGUGUGGGAUGAGCCCGCGGCCUAUCAGCUUGUUGGUGGGGUAAUGGCCUGCCAAGGCGUCGACGGGUAGCCGGCCUGAGAGGGUGGACGGCCACAUUGGGACUGAGAUACGGCCCAGACUCCUACGGGAGGCAGCAGUGGGGAAUAUUGCACAAUGGGCGGAAGCCUGAUGCAGCGACGCCGCGUGGGGGAUGACGGCCUUCGGGUUGUAAACCUCUUUCGACAGGGACGAAGCUUCGGUGACGGUACCUGUAGAAGAAGCACCGGCUAACUACGUG
rnacentral:rRNA from 1 species